CUUUGCAGAAUGAAGGAAUUUUGUAAUUUCUUCUAGAAAAUCCAUCUGUGUUUCUAAUAAAAAUCUGGAACAACUUCAGUGAUGAUCUGAAGGCGCAUAUGGAUGUUUUUAUAGUCCUCCUGCUUGCCAUAGGACUCUCUGGGAAUUGAGAGAAUUUACCCAUGUAAAUUGUGUGAGAAAUCUUGGGAUACUGCUCAUGGCUUUGAAGCAUCCUGCUAAGUGUACAUUCUAGCAAGUUCCAGUCAAACUAGUCUACAAAUAAUUUCACUUGGAGCAAUGGAAUCUGCUACAAAAGAAGAAAACUGGUGAUUUUUUUAAAAGCGUUUUGCUUUCAGAAUGGCGUAGGGUGCAGACUUGGGACUGGAUGCAGUUGUGCCCUCACUACCAUCUGUUCCUGAAGAAGAGACCUUACGAGGAGCAGCUGAGGGAACUGGGACUAUUUGGUCUGGAGAAGAGGAGGCUGAAGGCAGUGAUACUUUGUGGACAAGCCAGUAUCUGGUGACAGAGAUCAUGGGUGGAGUACUGCUGCAAGGGCGCCUGAAAGCUUCAUCUUCCUUUGGAGGAGACAUAUAUCAAAACACAGUGCUCAAUAAAAGGAACAAUUACAUCUAGAUGCUCUGGAAAAAGAUGUGAAGAAUUCAAGGCCAAAACAUGGACUAAAAUAAAACAGCCUGCUUCACUUGUGGAUGUGAAUCAGAACUCUAUGAUUUUCAUCAAUCUUUAAAGAAUAUCAAAUUCACCAAAGCACCAUCAUGACUGAUCCCCAUGUGAGAAAUCUCCCAGUCAGUUAUGGGGUGAAGCACUUAAUGCAAACAGAACUGAAUGAAUUGGAGGCAAGGUGAUGAAAAAGGAAAGAGUUGCAUUUGAAUGAGAGAUCAAUCACAGAGACUGAGAGUGACAGCCCUAUCACAUUUGUUUGUGGACUAUGGAGGCAGGCAGAAAGGAUAAGCAAUUGACAAGGAGGUAGUUUGGUAGAGAAAAUGGAAAAACAUGGAAGAGUAUAAUUCCACCAAAGCAAUGGCUUCUUCUCUUUUGAGCUUCUAUUUGCAUAAGAAAACUGCAGCACAGAUUUGUUUGUUUGAAUGAGUCAUUUGAUUUUGGAGAACUGUCUUGGUUUUUCAAAGUCUUUUAUUUUGGAAUUAAACUCUGCAUCUCGGACAAGGCAGACAGGCAGUUAAUUAGACAAAAAAAAAAAAAAAAAAGGGCAUUGACUGCGCUUGGGAAAAAAAAUACACACUUUUAUAACUAAAAUGAUUGCUGAGGAUAUGGUAUUGAUUUGAUAGUUUUGCAGCUGAAAAUGUUUGCUAAUUGGAGAACCAAUUCCAUAUUUGUAUUCCCAGCACAGAAGCAAGAAGCUUCUGAAUUAAGCAUCAAGAGCAAAUGCUUGCUGAAGGAAAAAAGAAAUCCAAUAAAAAUCCAGGGUUUGAUGAUGAAAUCCAGGAUGAAACAGCAGUCUAUUGGCCUUGUUCUGGGCAUUCUAAAACUGCCAUACAAAUGGACAGGUAGAAACUGUCACAGAAAUGAAUUAAAAAUUACUGUUAAUGAAUGCCAGUAGGCAGUUAUGGCUGAUCAAGGUAAUAACAUUUUUCAACUAUGUUUUUCAUCAAAAUAUUCCAUGUGGUUUUAACUAUUGUUCUAAUGGUUAACAGUGAGGAGCAGAACAUUCUGAUGCGUUGCCUUCAUUUUCACAGAAUUGUUUCUCUUUUGGCAGACCAUUGUGAAAGAGAACCAAGUAAACAGGAAGAGAAGACAUUUUGCAUAUUUCCCUUUUUAGUUCUUGAAAUUUUUAAAAAUUCCAAUAAAAUGUCUAAGCAAUAUGAGAAUUAGAACAGAUCAUUUUUAAAAUUGGUGCGUUUUAAAUUUUGCUGUGGAUAGUUUUAAUUAUUUAAUCAGGCUGCAUUAACCUUGUGUUAAUGCUCUAUGCAAGAAUGACAAGUCAUUGCUCUUUUUUAUUUCGCAUGUCAUUCAAAUAGCAGAAAGUGUUUGGUGAUCUACAGGAGCUGAAUACUUGCAAGCUGCAAGUAACUUCUGGCAGACUGACACCAGUCACUUCCUUGCAUCUGUUUCCCACUAUGAUAUUCUCAUUUCUGAAAAGGUGCCAGUCACUAUCUCAGGUAAUUCCAAUAAGUAUAUGUCUAGCAGUAUGAGAGAGAAACAGAUCUUUAAUAAAUCCCCCCACAGCAAUAUGCUGCCAGCCCAUCCUUUCUACCCCCCGAAAAAUCCAUGGAGGUGUGGGAUGAUUGCUAGAAACAUAACAUAAAAUAAAGAAGUAUGAAAAAAGAGCACUUGUUUCCUCCAAUGUGUGUGCCCUGUGCCACUUUAUAUCCCUUUCAUGUCCUUCCCUUCAUCCCUACUGUCUCAUUCCUUUUAUUAAUUGCUCUGCUUUUUUCCCUCUGCCUUUUCUUGCCUUUCUUUUUCUGCAGAAGUAAAACUUCUACUCUACUAAUUCAUUUUUACUCAAUCAUUUUUCUUUUCUUCAUUGUCUCUUGACCGUAUAAGACUCCUUUCCUCUACCCCAGAGAUAGUUUCUCAUUUUUCUUACUUCACUCCUUGUGGUAUGUGUGCCCUUCCUUCUGUAUCUAAUUCUUUCUAUGUCACAUGCAUUCUGUCUUACUGACCCCCUUCUGCUCUUUCUUUUCAUGCUCUGCUCUUUCUUUUUAUGUCCUGAUUGACUUCUUUCCUACAGCUUCUACAUAAUUCGUCCUGAUUUCCUUCUCUAUGUCUACCACAGUGCACAGCUGGCACAUCCAGCUGUGUCCCUCCUGUUUUAGUUUUGUUGUGUCAUUUCAACUUCUGAACUUCUUCCUUCCUUCCUUCCUUCUACCAUCUCACUGGGCUGCACCUGUAGCUACUUUUCUGGUUUAUUCUACUCUAAGGGCAAAAAGGGAAAAGAAUUACUUGAAAGCAUGGCCCCUUUCAGAAAAGAAUGAGUUGGUGACAUGCCAUUGCACUCAGUGUCCUCUCCCUGUCCACCAGAGCAUGUCAGAGGCUGGCUGUGAAGAAUGGAGGAUUCAUGGCUGGUGCCUGCUGUGCUCUGAUUAUUCUGUACUUCCCAGAACUGCAAGAAGCAGGGUAUAAUUAGAUUGGCAAUGAAGCUUCUUACAGUUUGGAAUCAUUUGUUAUUCCCACUGAUGGUUUUGUAUAGUGAAAGGUUGGUUUUAUUUAGAAAGACAGUUCUAGAAUUCCAGUAUGCCAAUCAUAAAUUGUAAGCCCAAGUUUACACUCACUAGAAAAGAAAUGUGGGUUGUUUUUCCCCUUAGGUUUUAACUUGGAUGACUAAUAGGUUAAUCCCUACAUGUUCAAGCCUUCUUCUAAUCUGUGAAGGUCCAAGGCCUAAAUCUAGAUGUCUUUGACAGUGAUGAACUGUUAGAUAGGAUGGCUGCAUCUGUACCAGCCUGCGAACACUCUUGUUCACGCUGUCAAAUCGUUAAUUACUGGACAAUUUUUGGCUCAUGGCAACUUAAUUAGCAUCUACUCAAUGCCUGACCACAAUCUGUGGAUUAGCAGGAACCAGCCCCAAGAGGCAUUUGGGAUAGGACUUCUCUGUUUUGGAGAUUGGAGAUAGAAUUUACCUCAAUGGAAACAAGCUGUGGCUGUUAGUUGGCUGAAGGGCCUGAGAACAAUUUCUGGAUUUUUUUCCUUACUAACAUAUGAGGCAAAUCUAAUCUCUUGCUUCCUUAUUUUUUCAUUUUAUUGCUCAUAUUUCUAACAGCAGCUGUAAUUAUUUAUACCAACGAUCAUUUUAACUCAGUGUCACCUCUCCAGUAGUAACUUCCCCUGGUAUUCAUAACAAAUGCAAAUGAUGUGUUCCUCAAAGAAAGCAGUGUAACGGUGGUCUUCUCCAACUAAUUUACUGAUCUUUUUAGCUUGUGCAGAUUUCCUGUAUGCACAAUAUCCUUUGUCAAGAUUUACCAUCAGCUGUUAUGUAGAGAAUCACCUCCUUUUUUGCUUCACUGAGCUUAGCUUCUAACUUCAGCUUUUAGAGCUUGUGUGCAAGAAGCAAUAAAAGGCUCACUGCUAUCCUUAAUCUGUCAUUUAUAAAUGUGUUGAGGAGUGCAGAUCUUAGUGCAGACUGCUGGGGUUGUCUACUGCUUAUCUCUCACCUUUGUAAUAGCUGAUCAUUUGUGCUUUUACCCUCUCUUGUCCUUUUACCAGGAGAUAUGGAUUUUUUGUUUGGGUUUCACUCAGUACUGGUACUGUGCAAAGUAAUGUACUGUUUUUAACCUAGUCCAAGUUGCAUAGCACCCUAUGGACUUUUAUUCAGGCAAAUCAUUCAAAAUAGUCCUUAUGUGCCUGAAAUUCUGGACUGGCAGAGAGAUGAUUUGAAUAUGUCAAUAGCAACAGUGUUUUACUAAUAGUUGAACUAAUUCUUCACUCCCUUCCCUUCACCAGUAUAGUAUGUCAAUCUAUUAUUAAUGUUACUUAUGAGCUUUUUAAAUCAGUAAAAUGAGCAGCACUGGACAAGCAUGGAACAUAUUUUGGUAUAUACCAAAAGUUUCUGUUCCUUUCUAUAGUAACUGAAUAUAUAAAUGUCUUUCUUUCUUUUGUUAAUUUACUUCAGAGCUAAUAACUAUCAGCAAGGCAAGGAUUUUUAAAAAUCUUUAAAUGAAAUUCAGUGUUUUGUGUCUGUUCUCUCCUGUCUACUGCUUCUUCCAUGCGCCUUAGAAAUGGGAAAGGCCUCCCAGUGCCAAAGAGCACUUUCCUGUGCUCUUCUACAGGCAAGACCCAUAUGAUGAGGUACUGAAAUUAGAAGCUCAGUUUUUUGCUAGGGUAAUGUUAACACUUAGUAUGUUUUCAGGUUUCAUUUUUUUGUGAGCAUUAUCAGUUUUCCAGAUGCUCAAUCCAUCACUAUUUGUAAAAUCAUUUCCAGUUAACUCUGCAGUUUAACAAGGAUUGUUUCUGUCUUUAUGAGAUGUACUUGUCAUUGACCCAUCUCCUUCACCUUUUGCUGCAGAAAGAUAAAUUAUACAAGCAAUUUAUUCUAUUUAGAAGUUAGUAUUGGAUGUGUUUUGCUAAACCUUGAGUUCUACAUAUUUGAAGAGUUCAAAGUUCAAGAUGACAGUGUAAAUCUCAAGUGAUUUGAAUUUUCUAUAUUCUUAAGUACUGUUUAUUCUCAGAGAAGAUUCCCAUCUGAUUUUGCAUAUGUAUUAAUUAAUGUUUGAGACUGAAAAUAGUUGUAGACUGCUAACAUACAAAGUAAGUAGAAAAUUAUUGCAUUUUCCAAGAACAUUAAAGUGUUAGACGUUUAUCUCGAUCAGUGAAUCUUAACUCAGUUUUUAAUUUCUGUAAGUACAUUUCAGAGCACUCUGGUUACGAGACUGCGGAUGACAAGUCUUUAUUCUAAUCUCAACUCUGUUUCUAUUUUACUAGCAAGAAUAAAUUUCUAACCUCUCCACACUCACCUUUUGAAUUAUAAUGACAGGCUUAUCAGUUUUUCUCCUGGGAGAUAACAAAACUUAGCCAAUUGGACUUUUUUUGUAACAAGAAACCAUAUGGUCAUUUGAAAAUAUUUUGUUUCCACUCAGAGAAAAUAACAUAAUUGUGAGACUUCAUGGCUGUUAGAGUACAGGUUCUUCAUACAUAGGGCUACUUGAACCUGCAUUUGUAGUCAGUGUGUAAUGAACCUUCCUAACAAUCAAAUGACAGUUUUAGCAGAGAUGUGUUAUGGCGAAGGAGUCAAAAAUAUGGUGGCUAAAUUAUUAACACAAGAUGAUUAUACUAUAAUAUGUAUAUAUUCUUGUAUUUAAAUAUAUUUAUUUUAUUUAAGUAUAUGUGAAUAUAUAAUUAUAUACUUACAGAUUCCUUCUUUUGACUUAAAUUUAAAUUUGCUGCUUUUGUUGUAACAAUAAGAAGAGAUUAUCAAACCUGAUAAUUCUCUUCUAAGAUCCACAGAACAUUAGAACACAUUCAGUGUGCACUGUGAUAAUUUACCAAAGGAGUAUCAAAGUGUAUCUAUGGAUCUCAUUUUUAAAUGGCCAAAUACAUUUUGUACUUUUACCUUGGCACUUCUAACUGGUUAAAAGUCUCUGAAAUUCAGCAUUUUGAAAUUUCUACUGGGAUAAAUAUUAUUUAAACUAAUUCUUACAGUACAUGAGAGUAGAUAUUACAGAGAUUUGAGAUUCCUGUGGUUUCUAAAUCCCGGUACUGUUGCUUUAUUUUACACUUAUUGUAUCAGCAACUUUAUCUGGAAAGGAAAGGGGAUAAAACAUUUAUUUUGAAGAGAUUAAUUAUGUUCCUGAUUUUAAGUAUUUCUUACGUAUAAGCUUGGAAUUGUUUCCUUUGUAGCUUCAGAAGCCAUUUUGAGAUGUUGGUUGAGUAACAUACUUCCAUUCAUAUUGCUUGUUAAGUUAGCAAGCAUUUAAAUGUGAUUAAAAAGAGUAAUUGCUUAACUUGGUAAAUCUAUGUGAAGUCUCUAAGACCAUGUCAGAGCUAAUCAUGACAAAGUAUCUUUAUAAUUCACUGCAUUUGGAUUUUAAAUAAUCUAUUACUGUUUAUAAUCUCACAUGUAUUUAAGAAAGAAAUUAAUUUGCUAAGAGAGCAUGUUUAAACAGCAUUCUAGAUGUAACAGCAACAGAACAAAAGUGAUGAAAUAGAGAAGUAAGGCUCACACAUCAUUUUAAUCUGUUUUACAAUAAAUUCUGGAGAGCUUUCAGAUCACGUUCCAGUUACAAAUGAGCUACUGAAGCAGUGCAUGGAAAAUGAGUUAAGGAAAAGACUGAUAUUGUCUUGUUUGUUUGUUUUUCUCUCAUCAGUUUUACCAUAAUAUUUGUAAAGGUGUUUUUUUUUUUUUCUUUUUAAUUAAUAAACUUAGAAUUUUCUUAUAAAGUUGCAUUAAAUUGUGUGAACAUUAUGUAAAUUUAAGAUCUGUUUACAUAUAGUGGCAGAGAAAGUGUUGGUCUGCCUUUGUGCUAAAUGCUGCUAAUUGAAGUGACCUCUUUUCAGUGGAUUAGCAAUUUAUUUCACUAUUUAAGAGCUAACAUUACCUCCUGAUCUUGAAGUUCAAUUAGUAAUUUUCUUUUCUUAAUCUAGAUUAAUCUAGAAUUCAGCAGAAUUUAUUUUCUCUUUAAAAAUUUACCUGCUGUUUCAACUGUGUUCUCUAGUAAGAAUUCAGUAGAAUAUUUAAUGCUUUCUUUUCCAAAGAAAAGAACUCAGACUUUUUAGUUGUAGAAGUCAUAAUUUUCUGAUCCAAAGUCACAGGAAAAGGACAAUUAAGAACUAGAUCAGAGAAAUGUUUGACAUCAAACUCAUUCAAAUAUAAUAAACUUUUAAUGCAUAUUUUCCCUCAUCCUUUUUUUUUAUUAUUAAUUACUGCUAUGUAAAAUAUGAAUAAUGCAGAAAAUAAAAAUGAAUUUAUAGAAUUACCUUUUUAGCUUAGUAAGGAAAAAUGUCCAAAUAGAUAUUGUUCAUUAUGAAAAGGAUAAUUAUUUUCAAAUUAUUUUACCAGCUAAUGAACAGAUGCUUCUGCUCAUAUUUCUGCUGUGAAUUCAUGGGAGUUGAGAUAGUUGUUCCUUAAAUUUAAAGCUUCGGAGAAGUACAGUCAGUGAUCAGUUUUUUUCUUCAUUUUACUCAAUAUCAGAUCUAUAUCAGGUUCUCCUAUGCCAACUAGCAGUGUGCUUAGAGGAGCCAAUUUCUUGUUACAGCAGAAACUCCCCUAGAAAAGAAGGAAGUUGCAGGCUGUGCCCCUUUUAUUUCCAGCACACAGAAUGGCAGUGAUCUGAAGAGCAAAGGAAAACUGUGAGAUGGGAGAACAUUGGAAUCAUGGAGCACAGGUACUCCAUAAAAAAAGUGCUAUUAUUUUUGAAAUAGGGUUAACUGUACAGCCCAGCCCCUGCCAGAUCCCAGUAACCUCAAAAAACUAAUGGCUCAGAAACAUAAUUUCUUUUCCAAAGUGCUCUCCAAAAUUUGUCUUUCAUUUAUAUCCAUCUCAUAGGUCCUUGGCUGAUUAAGUGGUUUGAAUCUUCAAGCUUAAAUAGCCUGUGUAUAUCAAAGGAAUGGGAAAACAUAUGUACCCAUAUAAAAUUAGGGGAUACCAUCUCUCUUUUGUGCUGAAUAGAUGUCAUCUAGCCAGCACCAGAUGGAGAAGAACCAUAAAUCCAUUCCUGGCUUACUCAAAAAAAAAUGUCUCUAGUCACAUUUUGUUUGAAAUUCCAGGUCCUUCUCUUAGUCCUGCUCCCUUGAUCUUUGUCCAAGCAACAGAACAUAUGAGAGGGUCAGUGUCCUCUCUGGCUUAAGCUGAAAUCAUUUGUUUAGGCAGCUUUUCCUAACCAGCACUGAAACCUGCUAUUCCGGAUUAUUUUUGCAAUUAGCAAUUUGGCAACUUCUUUUAUCUAAAGAUGCCACAGAUGCUGCAAACUCAUUUAAUCAAAAUUGAAGAUUCAUUUUCUUUGUGCUUUGAACCACUGAUGUGUCAUCUCAGUUCUUUACUGCUUGUCCUGUGAGUAUAACACCAGAUGAUAACAAACAUUUACCAAUUUCAGUUUACACUGUAUAUUCUUAUAUUUUCUGCUUUAAAAUUUGGAUGGGUACCAGACAGCUAAUGUAUUUUUUGUAACUGAAAUCUUCAUGUUCUUCAUGAUCUUCCAAAGACACAUUUCAGUUCUGUUUUGUAGCAUCUUAAUGAUUUAUGCUACUCAUUGUACAGGUUUUAAAAUAAUCUCCAAAAUAUUUGCUACCCUGGCUACAAGAAUCAUUCAGUGACAACAGGCAGGAAGCACUCUGAGAUAAUGCUACAAGAAUUAUUUGGGAGAUUUGGCAGUCAAUAUUCACUGUAGCUAUGAAUGAACCAGUUUAUACAGGGAAAAAAAAAAAAGAAACCUCCUCUAAAGUACUGUGGCUUCCCUUUUAACCGCAUCUUUAUUUCAUAAUCAGGUCUUUAUACUGUGAACAAUUUAGAAUGUCUAUAUUGAUUAAACCGUAGGAGUCUUCACUUUAAAUUCUAUCUGGUAUUCUGCAAACUAUAAUGAACAUUACCGAAUGCAUGGCAUCUUCUGGGAAACACCUUGAGAUUAUCAAGUUUAAUUUCCCCUAGGAAGUUCUUACAGCAGUGCAAUCAAGCUAACUUUUACUCUCUGUAAUGGAGUAAGAUUUAAUCUACAAUUUUCCAGCAACCACUAUUUCCUUAUUUUUUAUUCUUCAGAAAGAGCUGAAGAAUGGAGUUUUGCUCUGAUUUUAGGUUACUCUAUACUUUUUUCUGUAGUGCACCAUAAUGAAUAUCCUGCCCUUUUUUUAAGUAUGCUGAAUGAGUAGAAGCAGGUGAAACCCUACAGUUGGUAAGGAAUUUAUGUAAAUAUUGCAAUUAAAUCUUGUCUGUAAUAAUAGGUGACCUUUAAUCUAGUUUAUAUUGAGUCACCUAAUCUCUCAGAUUCUAAUUGAGUGAUGAAGAUGCAAGGCUUCAUGAAAGGAAAGGAGAUCACAAGAAAAUAAUGAUUUUUUUGUGUAAACCAUGAUUUUCCAAUUACUCCUCUCAGCUGGGACAGAAAAAACGUCUAACUUGUGAUAUGUUCUGAUCCAAAAUUAAUCCCUUUGUAAAUGUGUGUCUUUAGAUUAAAGGUUACUUUGGCUUUCUUCCAUGUAAGUUCUCAGCCCUUUUGGUAAUAUUAGUGCUAUCUUUUUUUUUUUCCCCAAAACAUUAUUAAAACAUAUUGGUAAGUAAUGCUUUCAAUAAUGCAGAGAAAAACCCGGAUAAAUAAUAAUUAAAAUGGCAUGCAAGCUUUCUUUAUUCAACUUAUGUGGUGACCUUGGGUAAGAUUUGGAAUAAGAUUUGUGUGGCAAGAAAUUCCAGUGAGAUAUGAGUAGAGACAUUUGCUGCACCUUUGCAUCACAGAGAGGAAUUGGAAAAGAUUGGAUAUACUCACAGUGUCUGUAUACAUGCCAUUAGGAUCAUGCAAGAAAACUGUGAAGUGUCACAGAGAUCUUGUUUGUACAGUAGUUUGAAAUAUAAUGAUAACAAGUGCUUUAUGCUGCAGUAGCGUUACCUUUGUAUGUUAAAAGUGUAAUUUUUUCUUUUUCACAAGGAAGCUAAAUUCAGCCUCGCAGUGAAGACAGAGAGCUUAUAUUUUAUAUGGCAAGAACAGAAAUCAGUGCACAAGGGAAAGAUUACAUUUGGUGUGACAGUCUUGAAAAAGAAAAGGGUUUUGGAGAAGCCAAUCUGUGUAGGACACAGAUAUAUUUGCCAAAACCAGAAAGAAGAGUACUUUGAAAUGUCAUAGAGAAGCGCUCAAACUUCAGUUUCAACAGAUGAAGACAGAUCCCAAGAAGAAUGUAAAAAUAGGCUUGUUCAGCUUAGACAUGAUGGCUAAAUUUGAGACUUUCCUGUGAAGAGAGAAAUUUGAGAGAAAUCCUUGCAGAUUCCCUAUCCGUAGGUGAAAGAACAUUAAUACAUGUCCUAUGAAGGAUAAAUUUGAAGUUUCAGGAAAAGCAAGGGAGUUGACAAAAUAUCAAAUGGGAGAAGAUUUUAAGUAAAUGGUAGGCCAGUUGCUGUUUAAGAGGGCUGGGCAGGGAGCAGAUAAAGGAUUAAUUCUCCAUAUCUAGUUCAAAGAGACCAUUAGAAAUUUUAAUUGGUUUCAUUGGAGUGAAAGGGAUGGGUAUCUGAACUGAAAGAGAGAUCAGAAGAUACACUGUAAAUAAAAAGCUUCAAUGAGUACAGAAAUGAGUCAGAUAAGAAUUGGAAAAAAAAUAACUGAAAACACAAACAUAACUGUGGGGGGUGUUUUUUUUUAAAGAAACCUCAUUUUUCCUGUAGAGCAAAUGUGAAAGAGGUACAAGAAAGUAAAGAUUUAAAGAGAGGUUACCUUGCACAUAUUGACAUUAUAUAGGGAGAAACUGAAGCAGAAAUAAAGAAGCAAUCGAGAAAACAGUCAGAAACUGUGGGAAGGUUAAUGGGUUUACAAGCAUGGGUUUAAAAAGGGGAGUUGUUAAUAUCUGUUUAGAAAAGUGGCAGAAACUAAAAAGUAUGAAUCUCUAGUACUGUAUCUGCAGUAGUAAUGACUACUAAAGUAGCUGUGGGAAGUCAUUGACAGCAGAGCUCAAGAUGACAACAGGAGCUGAAUGACACAGACAUCGCUGCAGAAGGUGCGGGAAGAAGCAGACUCAUCUGCAGGAGAUGGCAAUGCAGUAGGCAGAGAUUGUGCUUGUUUGCUGAGGGAUUAAACUUUUUUUCUUCCUAAAACGCUACAGAAAUGUUCCAUCAGGAAAUCUCCCUCGUACACAACAUGGUGCCUCUGUGAACACAGUCAGGAAGAGUUUGCUGAUAUACUUGCACUCCUUAAUUACUUUUUUCCUAGAAAUAGUUGCUUUCGUACUCUCCAAUUCUUGUAGCUGUUUGCUAAAAAUAAAGGGACCUGACAGUGAAUGCAAGUUUCAUAAAUGCAAAUACAGCUUUGCAGUACAAAUUAAAAAUGUGGCUUGAAUUAAAAUCAUUGAUAGUUUGUAGGUUGUUCAUGUUGUUUGUGUAGACCCCUAAUCACUUGAGGUAUGUCUAAGCUUUUUAGCUGAUACUUAGUGCAUUCAAAUCAGUAAAUUGAUCUCUUGGGUACAGAGCAAUUCAGUGUACCUUAGGUCACAGUGCAUAAAGUUACUUUUGUUGCUAUCUACAGAUUGUCUUGACAUGCAGCAUAUACCCACAGGUUCAGAAAAAUUGCCCUUUGAUUACAUGUACAAUAAUCUGGAUCUCCCAAGGUAUUCAAGUGGUUAAUUAAAUAUCAAGUAAUUGCUAAAACUACUAAGUGACAUUUAAUUAGUAUGUUAAUUGAUAUCAAAUUUGCUCUCACUAUCUUGUUUUAUGUUAAUAAAAUCCCUAAACAUUUCUUCAAAAUAGAUUAGGAAGCAAUGUGCUUCAAAUAUACUAAUUCAGAACAGCCUUAAGCAUUACUUCUGCUUGUGGAACAUACUUUCUGAGUUUAAUUUUUAUCACAGAUGUUUUAUUUUGUCUAUCUUUAAACUUACUUUUUGCUAAGAAUGCAUCAUAUCUAGUAGUAUAGACCUCUCUUGGAAUGGAUUUUAGUUUCUAUAAGCACAUAAUCCCUUAGAAAUCUAUGUGAAGUGUGAUAAAUGUUAAUAGAAGUCUAGGGCUGCAUCUCUUCCCUUUGGCACCUACCGAGUAGAGAUAGUCGGGUGCUGUGGGGACUGCUUGGCGCCUCCAGUUGGCUAAUAUGAAUGAUGUAUUUCUGUGCGGACAUCUGAUUUGGGGUUUAGAAAUCUGUGCUCCACACAUAAUACAAAACCACCAUAAAUGUAUUAAGUGCCUGAUUAUUCUGCAGCAGUGAAAUUUUGCUGUGGGGUUAGCUCGCAGAGUGCUCCCCUCCUCCUCUCCAUAUCCUACCCAGGAAACAGCCCUACUGUAGCUUUCACAUUGAGCAUUCCAAAAUUCUCAUUGCUUUCCUUUGCUGAAGAAACCAACUGUGAUGUAGAAAAGAGAUGCCUUUAGGCCUGGGUCCAAAAAAAAAAAAAAGACUGACUGGAGUUCAGGCCGACAAUAGCCCCAAGCCUGUCCUUCCUUUCAACCACUAUAGUGCUCCCUAUGGUCUCAUCAAAAACAGGUGAGCAGUCCAAAGUUGAAGCUAGUAGGGAGGAAGUUGUUUUCAUAAUGGUUAAUUUGAAAACAUACUGCAAAAUAUUUCCAUGAAUAUUCAUAUGAAUAUUUAAAUGAAUUCCUUUCAGCUGUGCUCAUGCCUUUUGUGUGUGUGUUUUCUGUGGAGUUCCUUUUCCAUUUUAUUGGUGCCAAUGCACAGAGAGAGUUGGUUUUACAUAUGAGAUCACAAAAAGGAAAGUUUAAUUUAUUCUCCAUGAGCAUUCACACCCAAUUACUUCAGAAGAGUCCAACUGGGAAGUAGAAACACUGAUUUAUGACCACACACGACUGAACUGCAUAGCUCAGAUUCCAAUCCUUCCCAACUUCAAAAUCUAGAAUAUCCAUAUAAGCAACAUAAGCACUAUAAACACUGUGAAGGGGAAACAGGUUGAGGAGGGACUGUCAGAGAAUUUUAAAUUAUGAAUAAAGAAAAGUGUGAUCUGUUUAUUCAUGGAUAUGUCACAAAAAAAAAUAAAAAAGGCAGAAAAUUGGUAAAAUAAAUUAUUCAUUAAAAAGUAUUCAGCUGUAGUUAUGUGUCAUCCAAAUACUGUUAUAGAAUGAAGAAUACUGCAGAAUGAUAAUGAUAGGUGGAAGUUGACAGUGAUUUUCAACUUUUUUUAUUGAUUUAUUUGAAUUUCUGUGCUUUUUUAUAUGUGAUGUACCUAAAUUUCAUAGCUUCUCACAAUUUUUUGAAGUUUUCUGUUUCUCUGAAUAUAUUUUAAUAAUCCACAUUUACUAAUACAAAAAGCUUGUAAUCAUAGUGUAGUAUUUUAAAUCUUUUAUAAUACAAAGUGAAUUUGUUGCUGCUAUUUGUAUUUUAAGUAGCCUAUCAGUUGAUAAAGAAAGUCAAUACUGACACAUAUUUGUUAAAAAAAAAAAAAAUCUAUAGAUAAACUUUUCAUUGGCAUAAGUAUUGGUACCUGAAGUUCCUUUCUACCUUCUCCAUUCUCAACCAGUGUUAACAUGCCUAAAUGUCUGGUCAUGGUCCUUAUCACCAGCAGGGGUUCUCUGUUCUCCCCAGAUCUGCCUUCCACCUCAUAUUAUUUAAUGCCUCGAGCCCAUCUUCAAGUCCAGCUCCAGCUAGAGUGUCUCUGACCACCUUUUCUCUGCCUCCAUGCUUCCUGAGCACCAACGGAGGCAGUGGAUCGCAAUAUACCAUGCCUCUUCCUUUUCAUACGAAGCAGUUCCAAGUCACUGCCAAAUCAUUAAGCAAAUGACUGUAUUCUGAAUGCCCCAUAGGAAUUCAGUGGAAACUACUGCCUGACACAAAAGCAAGAUGCAGCUAAUCAGCUGCUUGCUGCAACACAGCAGCUUUGCUCCCAGAGCACCACUGGGAAUGCCAAAACAAAUCCCACUUAUCUGUGUGAUAGGUAGCCCGUUGCCUUCAGACAUGAAUCUUAAGCACUUCCCUCAUUAUGGCAAGAUGCACAGGUAGCAAUGCACACAUAGCAUCAGGACCUUUUUCUUGCUCCCGCACUGGCCAGAUCUAUGCCCCUGUUCUUCCCCCUUCACUUCAAUCAUUUUACAGUUGCGAUUUUCCAUUCUAAUAAUAUCCAAACCUUAUUGGUUCCUUUUUACCUCUGCAUGCAGUCAUGCUCUCUAGUCAUUUGAAAUUGAAUUAAUGAAUGCUAUAAUGUUAUGAUUUAUGUACACUCUUAAGGAUAUCGAAGGAAAGAAGUAUGUUGGCAUGAAAACCUGGUAGCAAAAGGACAUUACAUUUCCCGACUGGCAGAGGUAGAAGUUCUUCCAUGCUCAUUUCAUUAUACUAUCCUUGGCAGGAUAACGUGAGCUUGAGAUCAACCUAUUUACUUCCUUAGAGAUUUUCUUAUUCAUGUUCUUUUUUGUUGUUGUUGUUGUUGUUGUGUUGUUUUGUUUUGUUUUGUUUUCUAUAGAAAACAGUAAUUCUUGUGAUAAGGACUGGAGUAUGAUAAAGGUCUUUUUUAUUUAUAAGUUUCCAGUUGCUUCACUUAUAGUUUGAAACAGUUCUUGCAAACUAAACUACAUAGCUUGGAGUAGAAUGGUGAUUUGGACUGUAAAUAUUCCAGCACCAGUAUUAGUGCAUUACAGCAUUGAUUUUUCCUUUUUCGUUCCAACUAGAAGAGUAACCAGUACUUACUAAAAGCUUUGCUUGCAGUUUCAUAAUUUUCUGCAUGGCUAACAUAAUUUCAUUUGUUUCAAUUUCAUUUUUUUUCAUAAGGGAAAUAUAUUGCAGACCACUAAUUACAAAGGGAUUCAUUUUCUUUAAAGUCCAGUAAGGUAAGAAAACAUUUGACAUUGGUUUAUAAAUGAUUGAAGUUUUCUCAGCAUAUCGUACAUUUGUAUGUAGUGAAUAAUAUCUCAUGUGUACAUGCAGUUUUCAGAUAUCAUAAUAGUAUAUUUUGUAUGCACGUUGUCUGUGCACACAUUUGUAUAAUUUUCUGAUUCUUGGUUUGUUUUAAUGAGUUUUGUUUUUAUAAUGAAUGCAUCUACCAACUGUGAAAAUCUACACAUCACAUCUACCCACAUAAAUAAGAACAGUGACCUCUCCGUGUAUUUAAAUAUAUAAAUACACAACAACUUAAGCCUGAAAAAAAUUCACAGGCAGUAGAGUGGGAGUCUUCAAAUGGGAAUCUGUCAGAAUCAGGCUCAGAGGUAGUUUGUUUGACAUCCUGUGUGUGAUCAUUGCUCUUACUACUUUGCAAACUGCUCCUGGGGAAAAGGGUCCUUUUGACACCCUCUUUAUUAAAUCCCCAGUAGGCAUAAGCACUGCUUAAGUUUACUGUAAAAUAGUCCUGAGAGAUUAUUAGUUUAAUUAGAAAGAUUAUUGCUAUAUAAGUACUCUAGAAGGUUGUUUUUAUAUUUUAGAAGAUUCCUGGUAUAGAAUUCAAGUUACUUUGCAAUAAUGUCUCUAUUUUGAAAUCUUUCUUCAGUAGAAUAAAACCAACAGGUUUUGCUACAGAUUCUUGCAGUUUUCAGGAUAAGACUGAAUAUGUGUUCCAUCACGAUGAAUCUUUCACAAAACCAGGCCAGAAUUGUUACUGGCUAAAGAAAAAAUUAUUCUCUGGAUAAAAUCUGUUUUGAAAUACUAAAAACAGAUUUUCAAUUAUCCAGAAGAGAUGAUUUUUUGAAGAAAUGAGUUCAAGUUACUACUUACUACUACUGAGUGUAUUUCUCAAUAUCUUUUGUGAAGUUCUACUGAAGAUCUAUAAAAUAAAGAGAAAAAAAACAGAAACAAAGAUGUGGUGGCUAAAUACAUAGCAGAGGUAAACAAACGAUCUACCCCUGCAGACUGGAGAGAGUUGAUGAGUGUUGUUUUCAUUGAUUUAAGUGAUUUCUUAGAUCUAGACAUUCCUCAUUUGCAAGCCAAUAAAUAAAUAUUUGAAGAAAUUUACUAUUAAAAUCUUCAUGAAGACAAGUGUAAUGGAAAAUCCAACAAAAUCAUGUUUCAAAGUGUAUGAGAAACAUUUCCCUCAAGCAUUUCAUUUAUAGAAAGAGCAAAUACCUAAUAUUUGGCCUAAGAGAAGGUCUUAAUAAUAAGGAUGUUUCCCUGUACUUCUGAAAGCAACUGCAGAGAAACUUGGCUUCUCCUACUGAUCCAUAUCUGUUUUAAGAUAGAAUUGUCUGGUCUCUACGGCUGCUAAUUUGCCUUCUUCCAUGGGCAUUAGAUUCCUAUUAAAGAAAAAAAUACAACUUUGAGAUGAGCUCUUCUGAGCUCCUAUCUAAACUACUGAGAAAACUUGAGCGAGGGGAUGCUCUUUUGUGCUGCACUUUCACGUCUAAAAGCAUUUCUGCUUUAAUUCAUUCUCUUUACUUCUGCUGUGCUGAGUAUUAUUAUAGUCUAGUGAGUUCCUGAAAGUGGGAAAUGCCAAAGAAACAGGUGUCAGACUUCAAAAGAAGAAUUUGUCAAGACUUAAUGUUCUGAAGCUAAAGGUGACAGCUCAACCUAAAUAAGCUCUUCUCAACAGGAUUUAAGUUUCCUUAAUAAAAGAAGUAAUCAUCGAAAGUAAACUGCUAAUCUAACAGCCUAGAGAGUAGUUUUUAAAAAAUGUACAUCAUUUGACAAGAUAUCUUGAUUUAAAGACUAUUUGCAGUGUAGUGCUUAUAGUCCAAGGUUAUUUAUAUUCCCCUGAUAAGGCAAUUUAUGAUCUACAAAACACAAGUCUGCAGCAUGAAUGUUUGUGGGGAUAUUCAUGGGGCUGGUUGGUCUUUGCUUGCCUUGUGGUAAGGGUAGAUUCUAGAAGAAAAACACUACAGAAAGAGCAAGGAAUUAGUAGAAAAACAGUCCUAAUAAAAGUAAAUAUUUUUUCUUUGUGUUCCCUCUCCCAUCCAUCCAGUAAAUAAUAAUAAAUAAGAUAAUUGCUGUUAAAGGGAAACUUACUGAAGAACAGAGGAAAAAAAGAGCAAUAUGAGUUAUAUAUAUAUAUCCUGCAUACUAUUUUUCUUGUUAAGUCUUCACUAUGUUCAUAAAUAUUAUCCAGGCUGGCAAUUUAUCUGUUUCAAUAUACAUAAUCACCAAGAAUAUUAAAUAAGAUUUAAGAAGCAUAAGUAGCAGCAUCCACUAUUUCAGAAAAACAGUGCUGUCAGUUUUGAUUAAAAGUCUGAUAGCAUCGUAAAUGGUGCCUACUUUGUGACAUUUUGAAGUCAUGGAAAGUAGAGCUACUCAUUAGCAGUAUGUGCUAGUGGUAUCAGAAUACAGCCUUUUUUUUUUUUUCCUUUGAGUCAUUUUCCAUGUUCAUUGAUCAAAAUGGAUACACCACAUCAUUCUUGUCUCUACUUGACUAGUAAUAUAAGCAAUCUAUGAGCGGGAAGUCCAAGAGGAGCUGUGUUACCCUCCAUUUUUUAUUCAUCAGACUUUUUUUUUUGUAACAAGCCAUUGCUUUUUGUAAGCAUUUAUUUGUUAGUUACCUUCAGCACUAUCUCCCUAGCAUUUAACUACAUAUUUGGUCCUUUACAAAGAGGGCAGUUAAAUAAAGUUGGCUGGUUGUGUUACCAAUCUUACCCAAGGAUUUGGCAUAUUACUCUUUGUGUACGCUUCUUUAUAAAUCAUGCUGAUAUUGAUUUCUCCUGUCAUUCAUUCCCACUUUUUGAAAAUCUUUUAUUAUGUUUUGGGUUUGGAUUUUAUCACUUUUGUCAGAGGUUUAAUUUUGAAGGACGUACUUGCCUAUAUUUCCAUACAACACCAGUUAGUAAUUUCAGUUACUUAGUAAUGAAUAUGAUUUGUUUCCAUUUCAGAAGAAUAUUUUUAUAGGCUUAAUGUGUUUCUGCAUCCAAAGCUGUUGUACAGAUUCAUCAAUCCAUUUGUAGGCUGUAGCAAAGAUAUUAUCAGUGGCUGUGGGGGCUCAGGAGUUACCACUGCAGUUCUCCUUUCCUUCAGGUGGUAAGUGUGGCAGUUCUAGCUCCCAUCCUGUAACAAGUUGUUUAUAGAGAUGGAAGGAUGCUUGGACGUUUCAAAACUGCUUUUUGCUAGUAUUAGUUGAUGUAGAGGUUUAUAUUAGGAAACCUUAUAUUUUAUAUAAGCUCCCACAAACCUUGCUUUGUCUGUUCAGACAUCCUAUAAUUAAAAGACAGUGAGUCUUAUGGAAACAGUCAGAUGAAGCACACUCUCAGUGUGCAUUUUCUCAGUAUGCUUGGAUUUAUCCAUCAAAAAAAUGACUGUAAUUCCUUACCACCAACAAUUCAGUAAUCAGCUGUAUGUGCUUGGUGCUGUCUGCAGACUGUGUGGUUAGCAGUAUGAUGUAUUUUUUAAGGAAAAACAAAGUCUUGCCUGUGUGAAAGUGCUGAUCAAUAUAUGGUCUGGUCAUCAAUGACACUACAAGGUCUAAAGGCAUAGCUGUAUACAUAAGGUAUGUGAAAGCACCCUGAUAUGGAUAAGCGUAUUCAUGGUCUUUUUGGAUGCAUUUAGUUAGUCUUUUGACUGGAUCAGGGUUAUGUACAAUAAAGAAAUAAUGGGUGUGCAUGUAUUUGUGUAACAGUGCUACACUAAGAUGAGUAAAAAUUGGGCCUUGAGGACAUAAGAAUAGAGAGCUGCAGAUUUUCAUUGUUCUGAUGAAGUAAGGCAAAACAAAAGUAUCUGCACGGAAAAAAAAAAAUAAUAAUCAUGUGAUGCUCUUGAAUGUUUGCUUUUCUGGAACAGUAUAGUUCCAUCUUCUUGUUCAGCAUUUGUCUAUGAUGGAUGAUGUGACUCAAAGUCGUCCAUAAAUUCUAGUGGCAAAGCAGCACACAAGAAAAAUAGCUGAAUUUUACUGAUCUUCACCCUAGAAUGGCUUUUUUCCAGUUAUUUCCUUAUAUUUGCAGUUUGUACUUUUGCACAUUAUCAGAGGCAAGAGGUUUCCAUCAGGAUGAGCUAAGGGUAUGUUUUUCUGCAAUUACUAUAUUGAUUGAUUCCUACAUUUCUAAGGUAAUAAACACAUCUUCAUAAAAUUUUGCUCACAUUAGAGUAUCUGUAAUAUCACUCCAAUUAAUUUUUAUUCUCCUAGUACCUCAUUGUUAUAACACUUUAAAAUUGCAAAAAAAAUGCAUGUAGCAGUCACUGAAAAUCAGAGAGAACCACAAAUGAUGAUUUUUAGAGGUCUGUAAUACAUAAUUGAAGUGUCUUCUCAUAAAGACAAACCCUGCAAUGUCUUUCACAGUAUUACAAUUAGUCCUGUCAAGUUUCCAAUUCUCUUUCAAACUAGGGCCAAAGAAAAACCUUGCAUGUGCACUUGUCCUCACUGCUGGAAACAGGUCAAUCCAGACUUUCCAAAGCAUGGGAAGGAUCAGUGAAAGAUAAUUCGAAUUCCAAUGAUUAAAAUAGAACUAUUAUAAGGAAUUUAAAAUAGCCUACACUAAUAAAUAGAUAGCCCUAAUCAUAGAGGUCUGUUAGGUCCAUUUGUAAUACGUAAUAAAAUCAGUACAUUUAAGGAGAAGGAAAGCAGAAGUUAUAAACAUAGAAUCCAGUGAAAUAGUUCCAUACAUAAUUGCUGCAUUGUAAGUGAACAAUAGCAUCUCAUAUUCUACCUUUUUUUUACUACAACUCAGUGUCAUGAGUUGUGUUACCUGGGCUUGCAAUGCUGGAAAUUGGACAUAAAUUAUGGCUACUUUCUACUGACCUAUAUAUUAAAUGAUCAAGAAUUAUAGAAGUUUCAUGCUAUAGUCUGUUCUGCAUGUAUAUUUAGGGAGAAUGAGAAGAAUAUUAAAAAAUGGUUGUUUCUUCUAUUUCAAAUAAUAAAAGUAGUUGUUCUGCUACAUAUACAUAAAGCAUUUCUCCCAAGGAGAAGUCAGAGCUAAAAUAAAAAUUACUCCUGUGAGUGGUUUGCCACAUGAUCUUUUUUAUGUUUUGAAAGGUCAAAAACUGUGGGACAAAUCUAAUAAACAGAUCUCAGAAGUAUUCUAUUCAAUAUC